UACAGAGGUCUCAAGCGUUUGUUCGGAUUCAUUGGGCGUAAAGGGUGCGUAGGCGGGUCUUUUUAAGUCAGGGGUGAAAUCCUGGAGCUCAACUCCAGAACUGCCUUCGAUACUGAGAGUCUUGAGUCCGGGAGAGGUGAGUGGAACUGCGAGUGUAGAGGUGAAAUUCGUAGAUAUUCGCAAGAACACCAGUGGCGAAGGCGGCUCACUG
rnacentral:rRNA from 1 species